UACGUAGGGGGCAAGCGUUGUCCGGAUUUAUUGGGCGUAAAGAGCGUGUAGGCGGCUUCACAGGUCCGCUGUGAAAACUCGAGGCUCAACCUCGAGCUGUCGGUGGAAACCGUGUGGCUAGAGCCCGGAAGAGGAGAGUGGAAUUCCCGGUGUAGCGGUGAAAUGCGCAGAUAUCGGGAAGAACACCCGUGGCGAAGGCGGCUCUCUGGGACGGUACUGACGCUGAGACGCGAAAGCGUGGGGAGCGAACAGG
rnacentral:rRNA from 1 species